GGGGUAGUUAAGUCCCUGGGAUGAUUUCAAGAGUUGCCGGCUUUUGGAGUACAAUCUAGGAUUAGGGUUAAUUAAUUAACAAAAAUCUAUUACUGGAGUUGAAAAAAAAGAAAGUUGAAUCAGAAGAAAAUGGGCAUCACAGACACUUUUAAUGGUUGAUGGCUGCCAUUUCAAAUUUCCUUCACUAAAAACAGGGAUUUCCUUAAGAAGGUAAUAUGGAUAAACAGGAGGAGUAAAUAAUAGAUAUGUAAAUGAACAAGACACGGAUAAAAAAUCACGUUCACUAUAAACAAAAAUACAAUUUGUCCAUCAUUGAGACAUAUUUAAUACUAUAAACAAAAUCUAAAAUUUUAUCCUUCUUAUCCUACUCAGAUCUUCAUCACGUAUUGCAAGUUAAUUACUGAGAGAAAAAUAUACCAUCCAAUUCAAUUUGGUGCAUGCUUUUUUCCUUUUGAGCAAAUCAAUGCAAUCUAAAAAUUUUUCACUUGAUUCCAAUAGUCAUUUUCAUUUGAUUAAGAGCAAAUGGAAUUUGUAUUGCUGCACUUUCGGAGUCUGAGCUACAAGCAACACUUGAUCCCCUUCCAAAUGUGAUCGGCGAAGAGAGAUCCCCUUCCAACACUUGAUGAGCUGGAAUGAAGAGACUAUCUGUCAAGAACAAGAUCAAACUGGAAGUUUAAAUAGCUGAUGAAGCUUCCGGUGAGUGAGAGAUCCAUCCAGUUGAAAUAUUCAAUUCAAGAACCUUGCCAGCAUCAGAAAUUCAAGAUCCGUUGCAGGCCAGUAAUGCAAGAAGGCUAUCAAGUCAUCCAUGCAUCUCCAGCAGUCUGUGGUUUUAUUUUGGAUGUCCUCCUGUACGGUACGCUGCUGCAUUAGGAAGGUGAAACUAUCUGAAUUAAUGUGAAGAACAAACCGUCUAGUGGAACAGGCAUGCUUUCAGCUGCAGGAUUGUUAAGUGUACAUCCUGGAACUGUAAAGGCCAAAACUCUAAGCAUAGCACCACCCCCAGUGGAGGAGUGAGGAUUAAGUCUCCUUUCCCACCUCCUCCCAAUGAUUCUGCAGCUGCUAGGAUGACUUUGGGAAGGCAUAAUACUGCUCUUAAGGGGCCCAUGGAAGUUGCUAGACAUUCUGCUGAUCCACUGGCAGAUCUGUCACAACUUGAGGUUCCCAUUCUCCUGUCUGUUACGUUUUUGGAACUUUCUUUAUCCUUCUAUGCAAUUUAAACAGCAGAAGUUUGUAUACCAAGAGGCUUUGUUAUUAGAGGUAGAUAGAGCACUUAAUUGUAGCAGACUACAAUCAAGAAAAUUGAGACCUGCCAACUUUCAGAAACUCCCAUCAAGAAGGAUCAUUGAUCAUCAUGUGAUUGGAAUAAAGGCCUCAUCUGAGUCGAUUUAAAGGAGGGGUUGGUAGUUUAAACUUGAGGCUUUAAAAAAUUUCUGCUUUGUCCAGCUCUUGUAUGAGGUGUUCAACCUUUUUAUUUAACCUUCAUUUAGGUCCA